rnacentral:lncRNA from 1 species
CACAAAGCAAAGAAGAAAGGAAUGAAAUCUAAGAAGCUAUCAAGGAAGGAAUACAGUCAACACUUCAGUUUACUCAAGCUAAGUAGACCACAGAAGAUAAGCUGUAGUGACCAAGGACUGCUGAAAAAUGUGAACAAGACAGUGCCAUUUGCUGUACUUCACAGUACAUAAAAAAUAUGACAACCAUCUGUCACAUGCAACGAAACAUCCAGUUCAGCAUAUCCACUGCACUACCAAGUACUCCAUACACAAGCUCAUACAUCGUUUACUUUUGGGAGCAUGCAGCAGCACAGCAAGUGCACUGGAGAAGAAGCUACAGAUCACAGAAUGGAUCAACUUGUGUCUUACAAGAGUUGAGCAGAGCACAGCGGUUGCCUUCACAGUAUUCAGCAGAAAUUUUCCCUAGAAUUAAUUCCUCCUGGUGCAGAAGUUCAUCCACAUCUCCAUUUUGCAGUGAUCAGUUACAUGAUAUCCCAUGGACCUCUCUUUCGUGCUGCUAAAUGAGGCAGAGCAACCUCACUGACACUUCUUGAGGAAUACCAUUCACAGCUGAUCCCAUCUCCAGGCUGUUUGCUGAAAUUGGAAAUGAAACUGUCUCUUCACACUGGGCUUCCUGUACUCCAUGACACUCACAGUUUUGCAUAGACUGGGAAAGUCUCAUCAUCAAGAAUAUGCCACUGCUGCACUCCAACACGUAUCUUCUGUAUCCUGCAGGUACCUACUUUAUUUGCCAGUAGACAAAUGGCAAUACCAGCACAGCUAAUUACAUGUGUUCAUUCUAUAUGUAUUUCUCCUUCCUUCCUUUUGGGCACCUUCCUUCUCUCUGUCUACUUCCUAGAAUAUCUAUCUGGAAGAUUUUUACUAUAAUUUUGAAGGCCUGCAGAGAGUGCAUGGAUGAAAGCAAUGAACAGUAAGCAACCUUAUAUGGAAAAGUUUGACCAUUCCCUUUUAAACCAAAACAGAAAUUACUCUUCUUUUUAACUCUCAAGCACCUUGUUAUCAGGAAAAAAAAAAAAAAAAAAAAAAAAAAGGGCAGUGGGGAAGCUGUUUUAUUCUUAUGAUGUUCUAUUUGAAAUAUUUAAGGAUAAAUACACUGUAUUUACAAUUUCAAUGAGGUUCCAUAUGUGAUUACAUUCAUUUUAUUAGCAUUCAUUAUUAUGAAACAUUUCACACAAUGCAAUAAGAGCAAGUCGAGUCCCUUUAUUCUUGAUGCAUUUAAUAGCUUAGAUUAUUAUUAUUUUAAAGCAACUUUUUUUUUUUUUUUUUUCACUUCCAGUUAAUAUAGCACACUUUGUGUGGGAGAUCUCUUGUUUCACCUGAGAGCUAAUGUAUCUGGGAUAUCAAUGCCAUUAACGCUGCUAAUCUUUUUCCAGCCCACGUCAGCUUUCUUAACUUAAUCAAUUCACUUAAUAAUGCAUUCUAGGUACUAUUGUGAGACUGUGCCUAUAAAAUAAAUAGGAAUGCAGAGCAUUUUAGAUUAAACA